rnacentral:lncRNA from 1 species
GACCACCACACUUUCCAGCAGCCGCUGCUGCCAAGAGAGGAAGGCAGCACAGUCGGGGCCCCCAUUGCCCGCAAAGCUGGGGUCCACGCCCCCAUAGAGCCAGUCCAGGAGACUUUGGUAGCUAUACCGGGACAUGAUGCAAAGUGGCUCCCCACGACCACCGUGCAGGAAGCGAGAGCGAGAUGGAACACAAGCCCCGAGGGUGGCCCGGGUGGUGGGACAUAUACGGAGGGCACCCCCCCGCCCCCGCACCCCCCUCCGGACACCGGGGCAACUAGAGCAGGGGACGGGAAGCUACACGCGAGGCCCGGGGCCAAGUGCUGGCUCUAAUUUGUCCCUACGGCUGCCUGGGGAGCCCCCCGCGCUUCUCCAGUGGCCACCAACGAGGGAGGGGGGAAACGAGCCGUUGGCCAAUCUAAAAGGAAGGAGAGGAAAAAAAAAAGGUCUCAAAGAGGCAAUUGCAUCGGGAAUUACGAGGCGGGGAGGGGUAACUAGCGAGGGAAGAAAAGGGGAACAGGGCAGUGGCGAAGCAAGCAGGGGUCGGGGGAAGUCGGAGGCCGGGAGGGUCAGGGCCAGGGUUGAGGGGACGCGGCAGGAGCGAACCGGGGGAGACGGUGAGGGAACACGCGGCGGCCAGGAGGGGAGC